rnacentral:rRNA from 1 species
CAGUAGCCGCGGGAAUACAGAGGGUGCGAGCGUUAAUCGGAUUUACUGGGCGUAAAGCGUGCGUAGGCGGCUUCUUAAGUCGGAUGUGAAAUCCCUGAGCUUAACUUAGGAAUUGCAUUCGAUACUGGGAAGCUAGAGUAUGGGAGAGGAUGGUAGAAUUCCAGGUGUAGCGGUGAAAUGCGUAGAGAUCUGGAGGAAUACCGAUGGCGAAGGCAGCCAUCUGGCCUAAUACUGACGCUGAGGUACGAAAGCAUGGGGAGCAAACAGGAUUAGAUACCCCCGUAGUCCCUGUCUCUUAUAC